ACUAAGCAUGUAGUACCAAUGAUGAAUGAUUUUUGGACGCGGGUUCAACUCCCGCCAGCUCCACCA
rnacentral:tmRNA from 1 species